rnacentral:lncRNA from 1 species
CUGGGAGAAGGGUGCUAAACCCCCCAUGCAUGUGGUCUUGGCCCUCUCUGCCUCACACAGUGCCGGGGUGCGGGAAAUUCGCAGAUGAGGUGAAGGUACUCUGAACUGGGAGAGGUAGGAAGAGUCAGAUGGAAGCCAAAGAGCUUGGAAACUGGCAGGUGUUAAGAGGUCUGAGCUGCAGAAUUCUCCUCAGGACAAGAUCCCAGUGUGGCAAAAGUUAACAUCGACAGCUGCUAUUCGUGCCAGAAGAAAACAGAGCGCUGUUUACACUGUAGCCUUCUGUCCACCAAGCGGCAUCCCACUGCAGUAGGCACCCAGGAGACUUCAUCACCCAAGACUGUCCCAGGCCAAAGUCAAGGCUCCGAGCUGAGCAGGUAAGAACCAAAAUUUCUGAAGGUCUUUGGUGAAAGGUUUCCAGCUUUGUGA